CCAAAGAUCUCCAGAUCCUCCAAGAGAUCCUCAAGAAGAAGACCUGGGGAUCUUUGGAGGAUCCCUAAACAUCUCCAAAUCUUCCUCUUGAGGAUCUCUUGGAGGAUCUGGAGAUCUUGGG